rnacentral:rRNA from 1 species
UACGGAGGGAGCUAGCGUUGUUCGGAAUUACUGGGCGUAAAGCGCACGUAGGCGGCUUUCUAAGUCAGGGGUGAAAUCCCGGGGCUCAACCCCGGAACUGCCCUUGAAACUGGAUGGCUAGAAUCUUGGAGAGGCGAGUGGAAUUCCGAGUGUAGAGGUGAAAUUCGUAGAUAUUCGGAAGAACACCAGUGGCGAAGGCGACUCGCUGGACAGGUAUUGACGCUGAGGUGCGAAAGCGUGGGGAGCAAACAGGG